rnacentral:rRNA from 1 species
AUAGCGUAUAUUAAAGUUGUUGCGGUUAAAAAGCUCGUAGUUGAAUCUGUGUCCCACGCUGUCGGUUCACCGCUCGCGGUGUUUAACUGGCAUGACUGUGGGACGUCCUACCGGUGGGCUUAGCCUCUCGGGGCGGCCCAACUAAUAUCCCAUCGCGGUGCUCUUGAUUGAGUGUCGAGGUGGGCCGGUACGUUUACUUUGAACAAAUUAGAGUGCUUAAAGCAGGCUAUCUUCGCCUGAAUACUGUGUGCAUGGAAUAAUGGAAUAGGACCUCGGUUCUAUUUUGUUGGUUUUCGGAACCCCGAGGUAAUGAUUAAUAGGAACAGAUGGGGGCAUUCGUAUUGCGACGUUAGAGGUGAAAUUCUUGGAUCGUCGCAAGACGGACAGAAGCGAAAGCAUUUGCCAAAAAUGUUUUCAUUAAUCAAGAACGAAAGUUAGAGGUUCGAAGGCGAUCAGAUACCGCCCUAGUUCUAACCAUAAACGAUGCCAGCUAGCGAUCCGCCGAAGUUCCUCCGAUGACUCGGCGGGCAGCUUCCGGGAAACCAAAGCUUUUGGGUUCCGGGGGAAGUAUGGUUGCAAAGCUGAAACUUAAAGGAAUUGACGGAAGGGCACCACCAGGAGUGGAGCCUGCGGCUUAAUUUGACUCAACACGGGAAACCUCACCAGGCCCGGACACCGGAAGGAUUGACAGAUUGAUAGCUCUUUCUUGAUUCGGUGGGUGGUGGUGCAUGGCCGUUCUUAGUUGGUGGAGCGAUUUGUCUGGUUAAUUCCGAUAACGAACGAGACUCUAGCCUGCUAAAUAGGCGUACUUUCCGGUAUCUCGAAGGCCCCCGGCCUCGGUCGGGUGGUUUUUACUACCGGCGUACAAAUAAAUCUUCUUAGAGGGAC